rnacentral:rRNA from 1 species
GAUGAACGCUGGCGGCGUGCCUAAUACAUGCAAGUCGAGCGAACAGACGAGGAGCUUGCUCCUCUGACGUUAGCGGCGGACGGGUGAGUAACACGUGGAUAACCUACCUCUAAGUCUGGGAUAACUUCGGGAAACCGGAGCUAAUACCGGAUAAUAUAUUGAACCGCAUGGUUCAAUAGUGAAAGACGGUUUUGCUGUCACUUAUAGAUGGAUCCGCGCCGCAUUAGCUAGUUGGUAAGGUAACAGCUUACCAAGGCAACGAUGCGUAGCCGACCUGAGAGGGUGAUCGGCCACACUGGAACUGAGACACGGUCCAGACUCCUACGGGAGGCAGCAGUAGGGAAUCUUGCGCAAUGGGCGAAAGCCUGACGGAGCAACGCCGCGUGAGUGAUGAAGGUCUUCGGAUCGUAAAACUCUGUUAUUAGGGAAGAACAAAUGUGUAAGUAACUAUGCACGUCUUGACGGUACCUAAUCAGAAAGCCACGGCUAACUACGUG